GAGGCGCGCCUUUGAUAACAGUGGCCUUUAGUGAUGUAAUUCAUGGUUUUAUUUCUUUAAAUGGUGGUGCUUACACUUCAAGUUAGAGGCAUUUAGUUAAUGCAUUGUGCAUUUCUUUGUGUGCCUAUAUGAUUUUAGUUCAAAGACAAGCAAUGUAUCCUUCCAUUUUUUAUGCAUUUUUUUAGUCCUUUUGGAUUUUUUAUUUUUUGUGAAUUGGUUAGAAGGGUAAUCACUUGUGGGCUUUGGUAAGGGGGGAUGUAUGCAGCUUUACCCUUCUUUACCCCUCUUUGCAGAGAGGUUGUUUCCUUGACUCGAACGUGUGACCUUCAAGUCACAAGAAGAGUAACUUUACCAUUACGCCUAACCCAUCCUCUAUUUUUGAAUUGGUUGUUGCACUAAACCUUUUUCAUUGUUACUGCAUGGAGUAGAAUAUGUAUUAGAACAAACGAGGCAUCCUUUAUAACAACUCACAUCUUUUAUGAAUUUUUGUUGCGUUCAUUUUUAAUUAACAGGGCUUUGAUGAGUACAUGAA
rnacentral:misc_RNA from 1 species